AUUGAACGCUGGCGGCAUGCUUUACACAUGCAAGUCGAACGGCAGCACGGACUUCGGUCUGGUGGCGAGUGGCGAACGGGUGAGUAAUACAUCGGAACGUGCCCAGUUGUGGGGGAUAACUACUCGAAAGAGUAGCCAAUACCGCAUGAGAACUGAGGCUGAAAGCAGGGGAUGGUAAGCCCUUGCGCAACUGGAGCGGUCGAUGGCAGAUUAGGUAGUUGGUAGGAUAAAAGCUUACCAAGCCGACGAUCUGUAGCUGGUCUGAGAGGACGACCAGCCACACUGGGACUGAGACACGGCCCAGACUCCUACGGGAGGCAGCAGUGGGGAAUUUUGGACAAUGGGCGAAAGCCUGAUCCAGCAAUGCCGCGUGCAGGAUGAAGGCCUUCGGGUUGUAAACUGCUUUUGUACGGAACGAAAAGCUUCGGGCUAAUACCCUGGAGUCAUGACGGUACCGUAAGAAUAAGCACCGGCUAACUACGUGCCAGCCGCCGCCGUAAUAC
rnacentral:rRNA from 1 species